AUUGAACGCUGGCGGCAUGCCUUACACAUGCAAGUCGAACGGUAACGGGCCUUCGGGUGCCGACGAGUGGCGAACGGGUGAGUAAUGCAUCGGAACGUACCUUUCAGUGGGGGAUAACGUAGCGAAAGUUACGCUAAUACCGCAUAUUCUGUGAGCAGGAAAGCAGGGGACCGCAAGGCCUUGCGCUCUUUGAGCGGCCGAUAUCAGAUUAGCUAGUUGGUGGGGUAAAAGCUCACCAAGGCGACGAUCUGUAGCGGGUCUGAGAGGAUGAUCCGCCACACUGGAACUGAGACACGGUCCAGACUCCUACGGGAGGCAGCAGUGGGGAAUUUUGGACAAUGGGGGCAACCCUGAUCCAGCCAUGCCGCGUGAGUGAAGAAGGCCUUCGGGUUGUAAAGCUCUUUCGGCCGGGAAGAAAUCGUAUCAGCUAAUACCUGGUGCGGAUGACGGUACCGGCAUAAGAAGCACCGGCUAACUACGUG
rnacentral:rRNA from 1 species